rnacentral:rRNA from 1 species
AUGAACGUGUUGGGCGGCGCUCCGUCGUGGCUGGGGCCGCUGCUCGGCGCGAGGUUCUUCCAGCGCUGUGCCGUGCACCCCAGACUGGCCAAGAAUGAGUGCAACCACUACUGCCUUAGCUGCGCCGGCGAGGAGAACGCCGUCUGCUGCCCCAUGUGCCUCUCCGGCCACCGCGACCACCAUGUCCUCCAGGUACUUCACAUAUACAAGCGCACCUCGUGCCCAUACGUGGUCAACCACGAGAGGGUGAUGUACCUCAACCCGAGGCCGCAGGCGCCAGAGCACGCCAUCAUGUGCUUCAGCCCCACCGGCGCAUGCCUGAUGUGCGGCCGGAAACUCGUCGACGAAAUCUUCCGUUUCUGCUCCCUCGGCUGCAAGCUUGAAGGAAUGGUGUCUGAUCCCAACUUGACAUUCAUUCUUGAUCCGGAAUGCAAGUGGGAAUACUUAGACUCAGACUCAACCGAAGAAGAAGAUGACGGCGGCCAUCUGCCAGGCCCUAGCAACUCUCAGCCAAUUGGAGGGACUAGUUACGGCCGCCAGCCAAGGAAGGGCGUCUGUGGCCCACCUCAACGGGCGCCCUUCUACUGA